CCCACAUACUUUGUUGAUCC
rnacentral:misc_RNA from 1 species